AACGCACAUUGCGCCCGCCAGUACUCUGGCGGGCAUGCCUGUUCGAGCGUCAUUUCAACCCUCAAGCUCUGCUUGGUGUUGGGGAUCGGCACAAGCGCCCUCGGGCUGCCGCCGUCCCCUAAAUCUAGUGGCGGUCCCGCUGCAGCCUCCUCUGCGUAGUAGUUUACUCCUCGCUCUGGAAGCUCGGCGGUGCCCUGCCGUUAAACCCCCAACUUCUGAAAGGUUGACCUCGAAUCAGGUAGGAAUACCCGCUGAACUUAA
rnacentral:misc_RNA from 1 species